GCCCCAGCAGCGCGGCGCGGCGCGGCGCGGCGCGGGGCUCCGAGGGCGCGGCCGGACCCCGGGCCCGGCCACCAUGGCUCAGGACGGGGUCGAGUUGGAGAAGAGCGUCAGGCGCCUGCGGGAGAAGUUCCAUGGCAAGGUGUCCCCCCAAAAGGCGGGGGCUUUGAUGAAAAAAUUUGGAAGUGAUCAUACGGGUGUGGGACGAUCCAUCGUCUACGGUGUGAAGCAGAAAGAUGGACAGGAACUGAGUAAGGACCUGGAUGCCCAGGACCCACCGGAGGACAUGAAACAAGACCGGGACAUCCAGGCAGUGGCCACGUCCCUCUUGCCACUGACGGAAGCCAAUCUGCGCAUGUUCCAGCGUGCCCAGGAUGACCUCAUCCCUGCUGUGGACCGGCAGUUUGCUUGCUCCUCUUGUGAUGACGUGUGGUGGCGCCGUGUACCCCAGCGGAAAGAGGUCUCCAGAUGCAGGAAAUGUCGCAAGCGCUACGACCCGGUGCCACAGGACAAGAUGUGGGGCCUGGCUGAGUUCCACUGUCCCAAGUGUCGACACAACUUCCGGGGCUGGGCACAAAUGGGGUCCCCAUCCCCCUGCUACGGGUGUGGCUUCCCCGUGUAUCCAACGCGGAUCCUACCCCCGCGCUGGGACCGGAACAUGGACCGUCGGAGUUCGCACACUCACUCCUGCUCGGCGGCGGACUGCUACAACCGGAGAGAGCCCCAUGUGCCUGGGACGUCCUGUGCACACCCCAAGAGCCGCAAACAGAACCAUCUGCCCAAAGUCCUUCACCCCAGCACGCCGCACAUCAGCAGCGGCUCCACGGUGGCCACCUGCCUGAGCCAGGGCGGGCUCGUGGACGACCUGGACAACCUCAUCUUGGAAGAUCUGAAGGAGGAGGAGGAGGAAGAGGAGGAGGAGGGCGUCGGCCCCCGGGAGUGACAGCCUCCCAGCCCCCAGGGCCAGAGGCACACACGAACCAGACGCGCUUGUUCUGAAAUGUGGCCAGCUUGAUCAGGAUUUAGGUCCCCCCCCACCCCCAGCAGAUGAUCACAGCCUCACUGGCCGGAUAAGCAUAGCAGCCUUCUUGAGAGAGUACGCCCCGCCUCGGAACUCGGCCCAGUACACCCCGUCCUGGUAGCGGCUCCGGUAGUGACCACCCUGGUACCACACGCCGUUGAGGUUGGAGUGAGCACAUGCGUGGUACCACCAGCCACCACGCUGGUAAAGGGCACAGUUACCUGUAGGCAGAGAGAGGCUGUGUUCCCCCACUGAAUUGGCUCUACUAGCACUUUCGUUGGGCAAGGCUUUAGCCAGACCUCCCCACUCCACCCCCCCAGUUUGCAAACUUAUUCAGCCCUUUUCUCUCUCUCUCCCCCCCCCGCCAAAAUAAAAGCCCUGAUAGCCCACUUUCUCCUUCAGAGUAACAGCCUUCAUUUCCCCCAUCUUCUCACUUAAGUCAAGCUCUCUUCCCACCUUUUCUACUGAGUAGAGGAGUCUUUUAACUGUUCAUUACGAUAAUUAAAAUUUUCACCACUUCCUAGAGAGCUAGCUUUGAGUGAAAACAGCUCAGGAAC